UACGUAGGGUGCGAGCGUUAAUCGGAAUUACUGGGCGUAAAGCGUGCGCAGGCGGCGCGUUAAGACAGGUGUGAAAGCCCCGAGCUUAACUUGGGAAUUGCGCUUGUGACUGGCGAGCUGGAGUGUGGCAGAGGGAGGUGGAAUUCCACGUGUAGCAGUGAAAUGCGUAGAGAUGAUGGAGGAAUACCGAUGGCGAAGGCAGCCCCUGGGACUAACGAUGACGCUCAUGCA
rnacentral:rRNA from 1 species